rnacentral:tmRNA from 1 species
CACAAUUGCUUUUAAUUAUAAUCAUGAUACAUUGUGUUUGCCGGUUAGCCGGAUAUGGAACUAAACGUCUUACAGAAUAAGCGAUGCGGACCCGGGGGCGGUACCCGGCGCCUCCACCAUAUUAUGGGGGCGAAAUAGGAUCGACGUGCGUAAUAAAAGUCAGACUUGUUCCCGGUAUGAGUACGACCGUUUUCAGGCUCAAAAAUUAAGUGCCAACGAUAAUAUCGCUGUCACCGAAAAGAUCUUAUGCGCUGCAUAAGUAUUUGAUUCGCGGUAAUUAGACACCGGGCAACAGAACGUCUUAAUU